UACGUAGGGGGCUAGCGUUGUCCGGAUUUAUUGGGCGUAAAGAGCGUGUAGGCGGCCAGGUAGGUCUGCUGUGAAAACUCGAGGCUCAACCUCGAGACGUCGGCGGAAACCAUCUGGCUAGAGUCCGGAAGAGGAGAGUGGAAUUCCUGGUGUAGCGGUGAAAUGCGCAGAUAUCAGGAAGAACACCCGUGGCGAAGGCGGUUCUCCGGGACGGUACUGACGCUGAGACGCGAAAGCGUGGGGAGCGAACAGG
rnacentral:rRNA from 1 species